GUGCUCGCUUCGGCAGCACAUAUACUAAAAUUGGAACGAUACAGAGAAGAUUAGUAUGGCCCCUGCGCAAGGAUGACAGAGAAAGACAAUCAUCAUGUGGCU
rfam:Canis lupus familiaris chromosome 18, whole genome shotgun sequence.